GUUCCCGUAGCUCAGUGGAUAGAGCAUCGGCCUCCGAAGCCGUGUGCGCAGGUUCAAUUCCUGUCGGGAACG
rnacentral:tRNA from 2 species